rnacentral:rRNA from 1 species
AUCAGCCUUUUCGGGUGCGAUUCUGUGGGGUUUGAGGAGCUUAACACCUUCAUGCUUUGCAUAUUCGUGCUCUUGGGUGUACUUGCCCGUGUGGUUGGUUAACAUCAAUUUCGGGCACCAUAAAAUGGCUGGAGGAAUGUAGCUUCGAUCUUGUAUUGAAGUGUUAUAGCCUUCGGUAGGUGUGGUGAUCGAGAUUGAGGAUUGCAACGGAUACCUUUCGGGGCUACCUGUCUGAUCUCUGAUCGUUGCUUUGGUGCUGAAAGCGUGCUUAUAGUUAUCAAAGUCGAUGGUCAAUAGGUUAGGAUGGGUUAAAUUCGUUAAGGAUGUUGACGUAAUGGCUUU